rnacentral:tRNA from 1 species
GCAGUGGUGGUUCAGUGGCAGAAAGUUUCCCCUCCAUGGGGGAGACCUGGGUUCAAUUCCCAGGCAAUGUA